AUACGGAGGGGGUUAGCGUUGUUCGGAAUUACUGGGCGUAAAGCGCACGUAGGCGGACUGGAAAGUUGGGGGUGAAAUCCCGGGGCUCAACCUCGGAACUGCAUCCAAAACUGCCGUGCUUGAGGGAGACAGAGGUGAGCGGAACUCAAGGUGGAGCGGUGAAAUGCGUUGAUAUCUUGAGGAACACCGGUGGCGAAAGCGGCUCACUGGGUCUCUUCUGACGCUGAGGCACGAAAGCUAAGGUAGCAAACGGGAUUAGAUACCCCGGUAGUCUUAGCUGUAAACGAUGAGCACUUGAUUGGAGGGUCCUCCAUAGCCUUCCAGUCGUAGCGAAAGUGUUAAGUGUUCCGCCUGGGGAGUACGCACGCAAGUGUGAAACUCAAAGGAAUUGACGGGGGCCCGCACAAGCGGUGGAGUAUGUGGUUUAAUUCGAAGCAACGCGCAGAACCUUACCAACCCUUGACAUCCUGUGCCACUACCAGAGAUGGUACUUUCCCUUCGGGGACGCAGUGACAGGUGCUGCAUGGC
rnacentral:rRNA from 1 species